AGCAAGUAAAUGAUUUAAAAUUCGAGUUAUUUCACAAAAUAACACUCGUAUAUAUUGAGCUCGUAAUGGUACCUCGCAAUUCAAAAGUCUCUCUACGGCUAAAGAAUAAGCGUGUUCUUGGGCCAUCAUAGAAACAUAGUUAGGGUCAACGACGGAACGAACAACGAAACUUUACGACAGCUUUUUCGUACACGUUCACUUGCAUCACAUACACAAGUGCUCUCUGAACCGUGCAAUAAGGUCACCCAUAACACGGCUCUCCCACUUGAGUUACCUUAGCCCCGGGCCAUGCUAUUCAAUAAUAUUGGAAAAAU
rnacentral:misc_RNA from 1 species